CAAACCGGAGGAAGUGGGGAUGACGUCAAGUCAUCAUGGCCCUUACGGCCUGGGCUACACACGUGCUACAAUGGUCGGUACAAAGGGUUGCCAAGCCGCGAGGUGGAGCUAAUCCCAUAAACCGAUCGUAGUCCGGAUCGCAGUCUGCAACUCGACUGCGUGAAGUCGGAAUCGCUAGUAAUCGUGAAUCAGAAUGUCACGGUGAAUACGUUCCCGGCCUU
rnacentral:rRNA from 1 species